AUUGAACGCUGGCGGCAGGCCUAACACAUGCAAGUCGAAUGGUAACAGGAAACAGCUUGCUGUUUCGCUGACGAGUGGCGGACGGGUGAGUCAUGUCUGGGAAACUGCCGGAUGGAGGGGGAUAACUACUGGAAACGGUAGCUAAUACCGCAUAACGUCGCAAGCCCAAAGAGGGGGACCUUGUGGCCUCUUGCCAUCAUAUGUGCGCAGGUGGGAAGAGCUAGUAGGUGGGGUAACGGCUCACCUAGGCGGCGAUCUCUCGCUGGUCUGAGAGGAGGACAGGCCACACGGGAACUGAGACACGGUCCAGAGUCCUACGGGAGGGAGCAGUGGGGAAUAUUGGACAGUGGGCGCGAGCCUGAUGCAGCGAUGCCGAGUGUAUGAAGACGGCGUUCGGGUUGUAAAGUACUUUCAGCGGGGAGGAAGGGAGUAAAGUUAAUACCUUGCCUCAUUGACGUUACCCGGAGAAGAAGCACCGGCUAACUCCGUG
rnacentral:rRNA from 1 species